rnacentral:rRNA from 1 species
UACGAAGGGGGCUAGCGUUGCUCGGAUUUACUGGGCGUAAAGGGCGCGUAGGCGGAUUUCUAAGUCGGGGGUGAAAGCCCAGGGCUCAACCCUGGAAUUGCCUUCGAUACUGGAAGUCUUGAGUACGGGAGAGGUGAGUGGAACUCCGAGUGUAGAGGUGAAAUUCGUAGAUAUUCGGAAGAACACCAGUGGCGAAGGCGGUUGCCUGGAGCUUUGCUGACGCUGAGGCGCGAAAGCGUGGGGAGCGAGUCCGG